rnacentral:rRNA from 1 species
UACGUAGGCAGCAAGCGUUGUUCGGAGUUACUGGGCGUAAAGGGUGUGUAGGCGGUUCUUUAAGUUUGGUGUGAAAUCUCCCGGCUCAACCGGGAGGGUGCGCCGAAAACUGAAGGGCUAGAGUGCGGGAGAGGAGAGUGGAAUUCCUGGUGUAGCGGUGAAAUGCGUAGAUAUCAGGAGGAACACCGGUGGUGUAAACGGCUCUCUGGACCGUAACUGACGCUGAGACACGAAAGCGUGGGUAGCAAGCAGG